CAAUGCAAGAGUGUCGCUCACUGACUGCUGGGUUCUACUUACACUUUUUCCAAACAUCACUCAUCUCAUCCUCUUUAGGGUCUGCUUCAGCAAAACAUAAGACAGCUUCCAGAAAAACAUCACAAGACACAACUGAGUCUCCAAAGAAACCAGAAAUUCCCACUUCAAAUCCUCUUUGGAAAUUGAGUUAUUGCAGUUUUAAUUAGUUAAGAUGAGGCCAUUUAGGGCAACUUGAAGCCACUGUGGCUGUUGUCUUUACUUUUGAUCACUGAAAGAGUGAGAAUAUCGUAUGCAGCUUCCUACCACUAAUGUGCAUUGGCCAUGCUCUGUGAACAGUGCCAUGGGCUGAAUUCUUCACAUCCAUCUUUUCUACUUCAUCCCACACAGCCUGACUGGAAGAAACAGAUCAGACUGGUGACCGGAAGACAGCGAGUGAUCCGCUGAAAACCCCCAGACUGAAAACUCUUUGUAUAGAACACACGCUUUCCAUGAACGUCCUGGGAGAACCUGCUCAUCGUUUUGGGUAGAAGUGUCGCUAUUCCAUCCCUACCUUCUGUGCUCAGAAGAGCCACAGGGUCAUCUUCUCAGACCGCUGCUCCAAAUGGUCCCUCCCGACUUCUGCCAUAGCUGGAGAGCCCCAUUCUCAGCCCAGCUCCUCCUUGCAGCGCACCCUUAAUGACUGUGAACAUCCGUUCCUGGACCUUGGCUCCAACAAUUUUCUCAUUACUGUAAGACACAAAAACAAACAAAAAGUCCCCCAAACCCUCUGUCAGCAUCUUCUUCCCUGGCAUCACUAAUGUGCCUUGGCCCCAGAACAUCGGACCUUCCACCCAGGUGCCCAAACUUCUCCCCACAAAUAAAUCAGGAAACUCUACAGAAGACACAGCUAUUAGUCAUUCUCUCCCUCUGUAUAAUCAAUCUGCCCAUGCUUUUGUUUUAAAAUCUAUCCCUGAGGGAAAAAUUGAACUAAUUUUAAGCAGACUUUUUAAUGAAAAAGAAAAAAAAACCCACAUACACACAAGAGCAAAGGGCAGGAAUUUAAAUUACAUGAGAUGAUGAAUUCUUUCCAGAUGAUACAGUUCUUUGAUAGCACUAGCUUGUCCUGAAAUUUUUCAUUUGCAAUUAUAUAUGUGCUGCUUUUUAAAAUGGCUUUGUAUUCAGGAGAUAAUGUUUCCAAAUAGACUCACGGGGUUUUAAAGGACUUAUAGUGGAAAUGGAAAUCAAACAAAAAUAUUUCCCCCAAAUCCAAGCUACCAGGGUCCUAAUCCGGCCUGUGAGACUCGACCUACCAUCCGGCAUUCCUGAGAGACUGGACUUACCAUCCAGCAUGCCUGA